AGUGAACGCUGGCGGCGUGCUUAACACAUGCAAGUCGAGCGAAUUUCGGCAGCGUAUCGCCGAAGUUAGCGGCAGACGGGUGAGUAAUACUUGGGCAAUCUGCCCUUGAGUGGGAAACAACCUGCCGAAAGGCGGGCUAAUGUCCCAUAAGACCACAGGAGCGCAUGCUCCAGGGGUCAAAGCUCCGCAAGGGGCGCUUGAGGAGGAGCCUGAGUCCUAUCAUGGUAGUUGGUGAGGUAACGGCUCACCAAGCCUUUGACGGGUAGCCGGCCUGAAAGGGUGAUCGGCCACACUGGCACUGAGACACGGGCCAGACUCCUACGGGUGGCUG
rnacentral:rRNA from 1 species